rnacentral:lncRNA from 10 species
CCAAAUAAUAGUUUUCAGAUGCUGAUGUAUGAAAGAGAAGAAACAGAAGUAUGAGGCCUACAGUUGUGCCAAAUUAAUUCCUGAAGAGGGCUUCCAGCUUUCUUAUCAGAAAAAAGAAACCCAAGAAGAGUCCAAUAGUCUACCUGAGCUGACGAGAUGAAAGUGGGCAUCCAAGGUUGCCAUAUAGCUAGAGUUUGUUGAGCAGAAUACCUUAUAGAGAAGAAGGAACUGGAAGGAGAAAAAAAAAGAAGAAAGAAAGCUCUUGGUACUCUGAAUAUUCUGCUGAGCACAGUGUAACCACAGGACUGACUUCUGGCCAAUAGAAUGUAUAGGAAAGCAAUGUGUUGAACUUUCAGGACACGCCCUUUAAAGGAAAGGCUAUGACCCGUCUUCUACGCUCUCCAUCCUGCCUCCUGGAACGUGGAUGUGAUGAAGACCCAUCUUGAUCCACGAAAUAAGGGAAACAGAACUUAAGCUAUAGAUGCAAGAAGCAGAGAAGUAGCCUGGGUCUGGUUCUGGACAUGAGCAGCCAUGCCAGCCCUGGACCACUUUCCUUCAUACUAUUAGAUAAGGGAAAGAGCAUGUAUUAAUAAUUUACAUGAGCCACUGUUAUUUGGGGUCUCUUGUUACAUGCCACUGAACUCAAAUACUCAACAACACCCAUGGAGCCCAUGAUGGCAGGUUUCUAGCCCUCAUGGGACUAGCCCAUCCUCUCCUCACAUCUCAGGAUUUCCUUCCUUCUAAUAAAACAGAAGCCAGGAAACCAUUCACAGGGAAUCAGAAAGCAGCUUAUGUCUUUAACUCGGUAAGAAGGCUAUUGGAAGCAAUUCUAAGUUCAUGGAAACAUUUCCCAAACCAGAAGACAAUUUUAGCCAAAUGGCUUUCUUCUUCUCAGCGUGAUGAAAAGAAAAUAUAUCAAAAUAUAUAUAUAUCACAGCAAGUUUCUCUUAUUUUGAAGAAUGGAGUCAAAAAACGUACCUAUGUCUGUUACUUCUCUCCGUGUGUAUGUGUGUGUGUGUAUGUGUGUUUCCCUUUGUGUGUGUGUGUGUCUCUGUGUGUCCUCUCUUCUUUUUUAUUUUAAAUCUAUAGAAGACUCAAGGUGUAGUAAACUAAGUUGGCUAAUAUAAAAACAUAUAUUAAGCAAGGCAGAAAACUUUAAACAAGCCACCUGACAAAUGACUAGAGGGUAAGAUUUACAUCCAAAGUCCCAGGUCAUGUAGGAUUGUCUUUAGAUAUUUUUCAAAUUUUACUGGCUUCUGCUCUAGGCCCUGUGUAUAUUAAACUUUAUAGUAAAAAUAAAACUCAGUUACAUGCUGAAAUUUCUGAUUUUUGAGCAUUUUUGCCUGCUAUUUAAAUGAGUAUGAAUUCUUAAAAAUUCAAUAAAAUAACCCUCAGUGAUGUAAAAUGAGUAUGAAUUCUUAAAAAUUCAAUAAAAUAACCCUCAGUGAUGUCUCUUUAUUAUAAUAUUGGAACAACCUAUGUACUGCAACCUACUGGCUAUGUAUCUUGAGCAAGUCACUUAAACUUGCUAAGCUUUGUUUUUUUUUUUUUUUUUAGUCAAUAAAGUAGGGAUAGUAACUAUACUUGACUCAUAGGAUUGCGACGUGAAACAUUGAUCAAGCACUUAGCAGACUGCCUAGCUCAUUAUAGGAGAUAAGUAAAUAUUAGCUGUUAUUCACAUUAUGAUUGUGAUUGCUAAUUGCAAAAGACAUUUGCAGUUUCUGUAUUCCAAAAAUUGGUCUCCUUCCUAUGGCGGAUGGUAUUCCUUAACCAUUAUCUGUACACCAUCUGCUCUAGUUCUUUAAUACAAAUUAGCUUAUUUUAAGCAAUCCAUAUAUUUGCAAAGUGACUGAACAGUCAGGAAAUUAGUCUACAUCUGUGAAAUAGAAUAAACUAAUGGUACAAAGUAAAUUUCUCAAUUGGCUUUUUAAAUUUUAGCUAUUUGAAAAUCACACAAACUUCAAGUGUGCCUUUUUGUCCAAUAAUAGUUUAUACUUAUAUGAUUACUAUGUGAUUUGGUCACUAACAAAGUACCUUUCAUUAUUAAGACAACUUAAUUAUUACACCACUUACUUUGCUCAUUUCUAAAAGACCACACAGAAAAUAUUAUAAUUCCUCAUGGCUUCAUAAUAAAGAUA